GAUGAACGUUGGCGGGUGCCUAAUACAUGCAAGUCGAACGAAGACUGUAGUAAUACUGUCUUAGUGGCGAACGGGUGAGUAACGCGUGGGUGACCUGCCCCGAAGUGUGGGAUAACAGUUCGAAAGAACUGCUAAUACCGCAUAAUAUCCAAGAGAUUAGACGCUUUUGGAUUAAAGGAGUAAUUCGCUUCGGGAGGGGCCCGCGUCCCAUCAGCUAGUUGGUAAGGUAAUGGCUUACCAAGGCGAUGACGGGUAGGGGACCUGAGAGGGUGGCCCCCCACAAUGGAACUGAAACACGGUCCAUACACCUACGGGUGGCAGCAGUAGGGAAUAUUGCGCAAUGGGCGAAAGCCUGACGCAGCCAUGCCGCGUGGAUGAUGAAGGCCUUCGGGUCGUAAAGUCCUUUUCUGAGGGAAGAACUGCCGGGGGAGGAAAUGCCCUUGGCUUGACGGUACCUCAGGAAUAAGCAACGGCUAACUCCGUG
rnacentral:rRNA from 1 species